AAGAACUGCUUGUGGAAUGUAGAUUAAGUGUGCAGAGCAGCCCAAUAACACCAUAGGAUUAAACUAAAUGGGAUACUUUUCCCUCUAUAGAGAUUCAGUAAAAAUGUAACACUUGGAACUUUAAUUUUUCAUCUUGCCUUUGUUUAAGGAGUUGUUUGUGACACCAAUAACCUCCAAAAGACAUAUGUUGUUUGAAGUAACUAAGUGUGCUUUCCUGAAAAUACUGUUUAAAAAUGGCAAUUUUUAAAGCCGUUAUAAUAAUAAAAGGAAAAUGUAGAAAUACUGAUUGAGCGCAUGAUGUUUUUAGUUUACUGGAGAAGGCUUUAGACUGUUUGUUAGUACAUCCUUUAACCAAAAAGCAGAGAAGAGUGAAAACAUCUGUUUAAACUAGCAGUUAAAAAUUGUAAGAACACUGGAAGUUAUGUGCAAAGUAUGAACGAUCUGCAGCAUAGCGUGUCUGGA